rnacentral:rRNA from 1 species
AUUGAACGCUGGCGGCAGGCCUAACACAUGCAAGUCGAGCGGAACGUCGGACGGGUGAGUACUGCCUAGGCAUCUGCCUGGUAGUGGGCGAUAACUUCCGGAAACGGGCGCUAAUACCACAUACUAUCAGCUCAGCCUAGGUCGUAUUAGCUAGUUGGUGGGGUAAAGGCAUACCAAGGCGACGAUCCGUAAAUGGUCUGAGAGGAUGAUCAGUCACACUGGAACUGAGACACGGUCCAGACUCCUACGGGAGGCAGCAGUGGGGAAUAUUGCACAAUGGGCGCAAGCCUGAUGCAGCCAUGCCGCGUGGAUGAAGAAGGCCUUCGGGUUGUAAAGUACUUUCAGCGGGGAGGCGUUACCCGCAGAAGAAGCACCGGCUAACUCCGUGCCAGCAGCCGCGGUAAUUC